AGCGUUGCUCUUGGAUAAGUAUCAAUAACCUCAGAACUAUGGAAAGAACCAUGUGUGGAGUUUGGCACCACAGAUAUUCUCUGAGUGAUUGAAGUCUCUUCUACCAUGAGGCCUUGAAAGCUCCAUGAUAGAGAUGACAGAGCUAUAAGAUGAAAGCAGCCCAAAUCCCUGAGUCACCAAUGUUUGAAGAAGAGCUUCCCAGGAGAGGUACCAGACCCACAUGAGACUUCACAUGAUUAUAAAAUGAACUUCUAUUGUGUUGAAUCUCUGAACUUCAGGGUUGUUUUGCAGCACAGACUACAUUAUAGUGACAAGUAGAGGAAGGUACAGUAAAAGCCUUGCCAUCACUCCCAUUAUACAGAGGAAGAAACUGAGACCUAGAGAAGUUCAGAACCUUGCUACAUCAAUCAGAAGUACAAGCCAAGGCUCAUGAAGUGGUUUCCUUAUUUUCUCACCCCAAGUUAGGAUCACCUCCGAAGGAAAUGACUUACACCCAAAUCAGGAUCUGUUUUUGAGGGAACCCAACAUAACACAUGGAGAGAUGGGUUUCCUAUGAAGAAGGAAAUAUGGGCUGUAAAAUACCACGGAGAGUCAGAGGGACCCACGGCCAAGGGCAAACUGGC
rnacentral:lncRNA from 1 species